rnacentral:rRNA from 1 species
GAUGGAGCUUGCUCCCAAAGAUUAGCGGCGGACGGGUGAGUAACACGUGGGCAACCUGCCUGUAAGACUGGGAUAACUCCGGGAAACCGGGGCUAAUACCGGAUAAUUCAUUUCCUCUCAUGAGGAAAUGCUGAAAGACGGCUUCUCGCUGUCACUUACAGAUGGGCCCGCGGCGCAUUAGCUAGUUGGUGAGGUAACGGCUCACCAAGGCCACGAUGCGUAGCCGACCUGAGAGGGUGAUCGGCCACACUGGGACUGAGACACGGCCCAGACUCCUACGGGAGGCAGCAGUAGGGAAUCUUCCGCAAUGGACGAAAGUCUGACGGAGCAACGCCGCGUGAGCGAUGAAGGCCUUCGGGUCGUAAAGCUCUGUUGUUAGGGAAGAACAAGUAUCGGAGUAACUGCCGGUACCUUGACGGUACCUAACCAGAAAGCCACGGCUAACUACGUGCCAGCAGCCGCGGUAAUACGUAGGUGGCAAGCGUUGUCCGGAAUUAUUGGGCGUAAAGCGCGCGCAGGUGGUUCCUUAAGUCUGAUGUGAAAGCCCACGGCUCAACCGUGGAGGGUCAUUGGAAACUGGGGAACUUGAGUGCAGAAGAGGAAAGUGGAAUUCCACGUGUAGCGGUGAAAUGCGUAGAGAUGUGGAGGAACACCAGUGGCGAAGGCGACUUUCUGGUCUGUAACUGACACUGAGGCGCGAAAGCGUGGGGAGCGAACAGGAUUAGAUACCCUGGUAGUCCACGCCGUAAACGAUGAGUGCUAAGUGUUAGAGGGUUUCCGCCCUUUAGUGCUGCAGCAAACGCAUUAAGCACUCCGCCUGGGGAGU